rnacentral:lncRNA from 1 species
UUUGGAAAGAAACUUGGAGGAAUGUUUGGGCCUCACAUUUGGUCAAGUGCAUAUUGCUCAGCGCAAUUCCAGGGAGUAUUCUCUUUCAGACCCAUGAAGAGCGCUAUGGUAUUACAUACCCUAGGAGGGAUGCUAAUAAAACCCCUGUGAUUCAUGCCUUUUUAUCUAAGUAGUUAAAAAUACACAGUAAAAAAAUGACGACUAAAAAUAGACACGGUUGAUCUAAUAAUAUCACAGAGUGGUUCCCUGCCAAUGUUGAGCUCACCUUACGCUCUGCUGACCCCAGCCUGUGGAAAUUGAUCACAGCCUCAUCCGCUCAUCCAUCCCCAACCCCAAACCAUAUUGUCUUCAUUUUUUGAGUAUGUAAUGUAAUGUAAUGUAAAAGCUAUUCUUACGGCACUAACCCGAGGGGGAAAAGGAGUAGGCCCCCUAAUACGGCCAAAAAGCAAUUUAUCAAAGCGCUGAUGCUAAAACUGAUUCAGUGUAUUGUUGAUUAAGUGCUGCAGCAUGAGACACAUUUGAAAAUAGAGGGCAACUCAUUUAAGAAUGUACAAGGAUCAAGUCAAAACACAUCACUGAAUCACCUUUUAGGCCUAAGAAAAGGGCUGUGUUGUUGCCAUGACGCCACUGUGUAUCUAUUCAAGCUGUUCAAACGCGUGACUCGAGAGCUUCUGCGGACCCAUGAAACCUUUUAGUGCCAUUGGCUUGAAGAGUCAUAACAAAACAGACCGAACGUUGGCACAAUUUCCCACUGAGAGUUUGCCCAGGGACAUGACAGGGAUGAUGAUUUGUGGGGGUGUUAGUGGUUGUAAUUUGGGCUGACAUUGCAUCAGUCGUAUGCAGGUCAACACAAGUUGGAGUUAGAAGAGAAUGAAAAAACUGGGAAGGUCUCCCAUCACCUAUAAUCUGUCAUCUGUCAAUUCAGGUCAUCGCCAGGAACUGUGCUAAUAAGCAAGUCUAUAAUUUGGGCCAGUUGUUGUGCAUUCACAGUUGUAGUUUGGUUUAUUUGGUCCAGACCAAAUAAAGAAAAUAUUAAGAAAAAACACUAUUCUUAGGCCAUGGGCUACUUUGUUUACGAGCAUAUUUAUUGAUACAAGCCUGAGCUCCAAAAAGUUAGGACACGGUGUAAGAAGUUAUUAAAAACAAAAUCUGAUGAUUUGAAAAUCAUUCAGACCCUUUAAUUGAAAACAGUGCGAGGACAACAUAUCAAGUGUUGAAACUGAUAGAUCCUUUAGUUUAGUGAAAAAUAAGUGCUGAGUUUGAAUGUGAUGCCAGCAACAUGUUUCAAAAGAGUUUGGACAGAGUGUUGGACUUUACAGAGAGGAAGAGAUGGGAAGAGAUUCACCUCUGUGAGAGAGACUUAUUGAACACAUAAAUCAUCAAUCAUAGAAUAAUGUGCUUAAACCCAGAAAUGUGAAGAAUUUGUGCAUUUCGUCAUUUAUAGUGCAUAAUAUCAUUAAAAGAUUUAGGGAAUCUAAAGAACUUUCUGUACCAAAUAGACAAAGUCAAAACUUAAACUUCAUGGCUGACAUUUUAGACCCUUUUUGGCAACACUACAUUAGAAACAAACAUGACUCUGUAGUGAAAACCACUGCAUGAAGUAGAAAUCAACUACAAAAACCUACGGACACAGCUCACCACUCUAUCCACAAAUGCGGCUGAAACUGCACCGUGCAAGCAUCCCAAGUGUGCACCCCAUGCAAAGAGGCUGGAGUUACAUGUGUUGCAGGUUCCCCCAUGCUUUCUCUACUCCCCGCUCACACCAGGUCCCACCUCAGCUAUCUUAUAAAAUAAUGGGUAAAAAAAAAAAAAACACCCUAAAAAUAAACUCAACAACUGAAAUUUUGUACUUUUGAUGAAUCCUUUACACAAUGUCCCAACUUUUCUAGGAUUGGGGUUGUGCAAUAAUUAAAAGAAAGUCCUCAGGACCCUCUGUUACCAAUUUUUUAAUUUGCACCCUUGCAUUAUUGGUGCCACAUUGACCUAAAUUGGGGAGCGAAAUCUCAGUGAAUAACAGCAGCUUUUGCAGCAAUCCAAUGUCUCUGUGGGGUUCACUAUUGUCAUUUAGAGAGACAAAGAAAUUGCAGAAAAGAGGCAGCUUUAUUGUCCUCGCAGUGACUUCAUGUACCUCUCUUUUUAAAUAAACAUAAUCAUGAGGGCGGAGAAGAUCUAAUUGCAAAGUUGUAAACUGAUUUACCAAAAACGGAUGAAAUUUACAGCAUCUUAAAGGAGGAUAGACCUGUGACAGAGCUGAAGGGCCGGGGCUCUGGCAUGUGGCGAGGCUCAGAGAACUUGUCAGGAUCCUUUUCGUGUGCAAACCCAGGAUAUUUUUCCAAAGAAGAAAUGUGUUCCUGUAAAUUGUUUUCCAUCUUGUUACUCACUGAUAAGCAUGCCUAAAAUACACAAUUUAGAAGCUCUGUUUUCAUUCCAAGACAUUCUGGUCAAACUGAUCAGCUGGUGUCAGUGACUAAUACAAUGCAAAUGUGGAUUUUAGGUCUGGGUUAGCCUGGUUAUUUGGAGGAGGUUUUUCAGAGAUAGUUUGGCCACAAUGUGGGGUCACUUUUCUCCUCUACGAAAAACCAUAAUGAUAGUAACAUUAUUCAGUCCAAAUACAUUCAUAGGUCUGGAAACUUGGACAUUUUGAUCCCAUUAAAUAUUUCAUAACUCCAUGAGGAACGCGAUGUAGCUUACAAAUAACACCUUACUGUGUUUAUCUCUACUCGUGCAGAACACACUGCUCAUGCUGGAGCGGAAGGUAUUACCGGUGCGUGUUAAGUAGCCCUCAGAGUGACUAAAAAGGUCAUCUGGAGGUGGACAAGUUCACUAAAAAGCACAUGUUCUUUCCUUAAAUUGACAGUGCAUGCUGUUACCACAACAACACAGCUAAUAACACACUAAUCGAGAUAUAAUUAGACUCGACAGGUAACAAAAGGUCAACUAAGAUUACAAAAAAAGGUGUCAUUUCCAAGCUAAGUCUCCCUUUAGAAUUAAGUCAGGUAUUUAAAAUAUCUGCGCCCAACAAAAUAACGCACAUGGCCAACAAAUACAGUGUAAAAGAAAUCAACGAUAUAUGUAGUAAAAAAAACAAAAAGCGAACACAUUUGGGUACGUGGAAGUCUAUCAAAAGUAUGUCAAGUCUUACAUCCAAGAGAGUUGAGAAGAGAGUCCAUGAACAAUGACACUAAACUAAACUUUAUCACCACUCAAAUGAAGUUUUUACACCUAAAUUAAGAUUUAUGAAAACCAGUAUGCAUUGGUCACGUCAGUUUGGGGAUUGCUGACUCCAUUAUGAUCUCCAUUUGCAUGUUUUUGGUUUGACUGUCUACAUGUGGGGUGGAUGAGGUUGACGUGAACUGUCCCACAGUCCCUCCCACUGGGUCUGGCAUUCAGGUAC